rnacentral:rRNA from 1 species
GCCAGCAGCCGCGGUAACACCGGCAGCUCUAGUGGUAGCAAGUUUUAUUGGGCCUAAAGCGUCCGUAGCCGGUUUAAUAAGUCUCUGGUGAAAUCCUGUAGCUUAACUGUGGGAAUUGCUGGAGAUACUAUUAGACUUGAGACCGGGAGAGGUUAGAGGUACUCCCAGGGUAGAGGUGAAAUUACUGUAAUCCUGGGAGGACCGCCUGUUGCGAAGGCGUCUAACUGGAACGGUUCUGACGGUGAGGGACGAAAGUUAGGGGCGCGAACCGGAUUAGAUACCCGGGUAGUCCUAACUGUAAACGAUGCGGACUUGGUGUUGGGUGGCUUUGAGCUGCUCCAGUGCCGAAGGGAAGCUGUUAAGUCCGCCGCCUGGGAAGUACGGUCGCAAGACUGAAACUUAAGGAAUUGGCGGGGGAGCACCACAACGCGUGGAGCCUGCCGGUUUAAUUGGAUUCAACGCCGGACAUCUCACCAGAGGCGACAGCUGUAUGAUAGCCAGGUUGAUGACUUUGCUUGACUAGCUGAGAGGAGGUGCAUGG